rnacentral:lncRNA from 1 species
AUCCAGUUUGAGAAUGGUGGUAGUUCAAGCACCAUCAUCGAAAACCCGAAUCCGGAUCCAGCUCCGAGCCCGGUUCAUUCCCAGACCCAGAAUCCGAAAUUCAGCAACAAUUUCUCCCGCGAAUUAAAUUUCUCCACGUCGAGCACCACCUUGGUGAAACCAAGACCCGGCGAGAUAUUGAGCUUCGGCGAUGAGGGUAAACGGAGCUCCGUGAACCCGGAUCCGAGUUCUUAUUCGGGUCAGACUCAGUUCGAGAAUAAGAGAAAGAAGUCCAUAGGUAUGAGCGAUGACAAGGUUCUAACUUUCGGAACCGGCGGAGGAGAAUCCGAUCACUCCGAUCUAGAAGCCUCCGUCGUGAAAGAGAUACCGGAGAAACGUCCCAAGAAACGUGGAAGAAAACCGGCCAACGGUAGAGAAGAGCCGCUUAACCACGUCGAAGCAGAGAGACAGAGACGCGAGAAACUAAACCAGCGAUUCUACGCGUUACGUGCGGUUGUACCAAACGUCUCCAAAAUGGAUAAAGCUUCUUUGCUCGGUGACGCCAUUGCUUACAUCAACGAGCUCAAGUCGGGGUAAGGCGUUCUCGACGGGUAACGCAGUUUGGGUUUAUGGGUCGGAUCAGUUAACCGGGUCGGGUUGUGAGCGGGCGAAGCAAGGAGGAGUGUUUGGGAUGCAGACCAUCGCGUGUAUUCCUUCGGCGAACGGGGUUGUUGAACUCGGGUCGACGGAGCAGAUCCGACAGAGCUCGGAUCUUAUGAACAAGGUGCGAGUACUUUUCAAUUUCAACGGUGGCGCUGGAGACUUAUCGGGUCUUAACUGGAAUCUUGACCCGGAUCAAGGCGAGAACGAUCCGACUAUGUGGAUUAAUGACCCGAUUGGAGUACCCGAGCAGGGUAACGGAGCUCCGAGCUCUAGCUCCCAGCUUUUUGCCAAGUCGAUCCAGUUUGAGAAUGGUGGUAGUUCAAGCACCAUCAUCGAAAACCCGAAUCCGGAUCCAGCUCCGAGCCCGGUUCAUUCCCAGACCCAGAAUCCGAAAUUCAGCAACAAUUUCUCCCGCGAAUUAAAUUUCUCCACGUCGAGCACCACCUUGGUGAAACCAAGACCCGGCGAGAUAUUGAGCUUCGGCGAUGAGGGUAAACGGAGCUCCGUGAACCCGGAUCCGAGUUCUUAUUCGGGUCAGACUCAGUUCGAGAAUAAGAGAAAGAAGUCCAUAGAUGACAAGGUUCUAACUUUCGGAACCGGCGGAGGAGAAUCCGAUCACUCCGAUCUAGAAGCCUCCGUCGUGAAAGAGAUACCGGAG